rnacentral:rRNA from 1 species
ACCUGACUGCUAUCGGAUUGGUACUAAGNCCAUGUGAGUCAUUGUAGCAAUACAAGGCAUACGGCUCAGUAACACGUAGUCAAUCUGCCCUAUGGACGUGGAUAACCUCGGGAAACUGAGAAUAAUCCGCGAUAGAUCAUAAUGCCUGGAACGGUUUAUGGUCCAAAUGAUUCGUCGCCAUAGGAUGGGACUGCGGCCUAUCAGCUUGUUGGUGAGGUAAUGGCCCACCAAGGCUAUUACAGGUACGGGCUCUGAGAGGAGAAGCCCGGAGAUGGGUACUGAGACACGGACCCAGGCCCUAUGGGGCGCAGCAGGCGAGAAACCUUUGCAAUGUGCGCAAGCACGACAAGGUUAAUCCGAGUGUUUCCUGCUAAAGGAAUCUUUUGUUAGUUCUAAAACCACUGAUGAAUAAGGGGUGGGCAAGUUCUGGUGUCAGCCGCCGCGGUAAAACCAGCACCUCAAGUGGUCAGGAGGAUUAUUGGGCCUAAAGCAUCCGUAGCCGGUUCUGUAAGUUUCCGGUUAAAUCCACUAGCUCAACUAAUGGGCUGCCGGAAAUACUGCAGAACUAGGGAGUGGGAGAGGUAGACGGUACUCGGGAGGAAGGGGUAAAAUCCUUUGAUCUCUUGAUGACCACCUGUGGCGAAGGCGGUCUACCAGAACACGUUCGACGGUGAGGGAUGAAAGCUGGGGGAGCAAACCGGAUUAGAUACCCGGGUAGUCCCAGCUGUAAACGAUGCAGACUCGGUGAUGCACUGGCUUUUGGCCAGUGCAGUGCCGCAGGGAAGCCGUUAAGUUUGCCGCCUGGGAAGUACGUACGCAAGUAUGAAACUUAAAGGAAUUGGCGGGGGAGCACCACAAGGGGUGAAGCCUGCGGUUCAAUUGGAGUCAACGCCGGAA